GCCGUGGUGGCGGAGUGGUUAACGCGGCGGGCUCGAGACCCGCUGCCCCUUGGGGGCUCGCAGGUUCGAAUCCUGCCCACGGCGCCA
rnacentral:tRNA from 2 species